CCAGCCUGCCAGUGACUAAUGUUCAACGGCCGCGGUAUCCUAACCGUGCGAAGGUAGCGUAAUCACUUGUUCUUUAAAUGUGGACUAGUAUGAACGGCACCACGAGGGUUAUACUGUCUCCUUUCUCCAAUCAGUGAAACUAAUCUCCCCGUGAAGAAGCGGGGAUAUACUUAUAAGACGAGAAGACCCUAUGGAGCUUUAAAGUUAUCUUCAAACGCCAAACCUCUUCCAAGUCAUAGACUCCUUCACGAAACCACGCGCCAUGAAGACAACUUUUAGGUUGGGGUGACCAUGGAGUAUAAAACAACCUCCACGCUGAACAGGCCUCUAAACCUUUAGCCAAGGGCCACAGCCCGCCGCACUAAAAAAUUAACACACAUUGAUCCAAUGAAUUUUGAUCAACGAACCAAGUUACCCUAGGGAUAACAGCGCAAUCUACUUCAAGAGUUCCUAUCGACAAGUGGGUUUACGACCUCGAUGUUGGAUCAGGGUGUCCCAGUGGUGCAGCCGCUACUAAUGGUUCGUUUGUUCAACGAUUAAAACCCUACGUGAUCUGA
rnacentral:rRNA from 1 species